CUGGUGUGGUCCCAGGGCCACGCAGGGUUUAUGCAGAAUGUCUGAGAAGCGUCCCUGCUGCGCUCUUUUUCUUGGACAAUGACUUUCUUGUUCUAUUCCGGCUGCCUUCCCUCCUCUUGUGCUGACUGCUCUCUGUUGCAUUUUCCUUAUCCCUGAAAUGAGAGUAAGAUACUCACCAGAGGUUGGAGACAGAUUCCAAAUGUGUUGACUCCCUCCCCUCCCUUACCCUGUCCUCUCUGAGUCCUAUCUUUUUUCUUUUCUUUUUCUUUUAAGAUUUUAUUUAUUUACUUGAGAGCGAGAGAGGGAGAGGGAGACCAGAGAGCAUGAGAGGGGAGAAGGUCAGAGGGAGAAGCAGGCUCCCUGCUGAGUGGGACUCGAUCCUGGGACUCCAGGAUCAUGACCUGAGCCAAAGGCAGUUGCUUAACCAACUGAGCCACCCAGGCGCCCCUGGAUCUUAUCUUUAAAUACUUUCAUUUUUGGUUAGCAGGCUUGGCUGGGGCAGAGCCCCACGGGCAUGGGUAGGAGUGCUCCUGGAGAGAACUGGGAAUCAGUUCAAAAAAAGCUGUGUCGGAAGCCUUGCAAGCCUCAACUACGGUCCGAGUCUUGACCGCUGCAGCAGAGGUCCUUACCUUCUUAGGAAGGGGCCUGCAAGACCCUUUGGUUUCUGACACCAGAGCUGACUGCCGUCCUCUCGCGGCUGCCCCAGGAUCAGCUGGAUGGAGCUGCGGAGCCUUGGCCAUUUGUACGUACCGUAGGAAAGCACCUGCCAAGGGCCGAACUGGGCGCCGAGGACGUGAAGAUGGACAAAGCAUUGACUUUAGUCCUGAUGGUUUACAAGCCGGUGGAAGAGAAAGCACAAGUGGUUAGGAGGUCAAGUCUUGAACUUGAUGGCUGGUUCUCAAGUGACGGUGGGGGAGCAGGGAGCCUCCGAGUUCAUCAGGACCAGGCCGGAGACAUUGCUGCUGGGAAACAGAAUCUCAAGAAUGAGCUGACUGGUGACGGCAGGGGGAGGGGGGAAGGAGAUGAACAACUUACUCAAAGUAUAAGCUGGUUUUGAAUUAGCGUGCACACGCGUACCUCCCCCCACCCCCAUUUUGUCUACAUUUUGCUUUAAUUUUCUUCCUCGGAUUGAUUGGGAUAGGACAGAAAGUGUCUAAAUAAACUGCAUUGGAAGUUUUAUAUUUA